AGCUCGCUCCCGGGGCUACCCUACUCCCGUAGGGUUUAGAGUCGUCGGGCCUCUCGGAGAAGCUCGGUCCUGAACUCCACCCUUGAAUAAACUACCUUUGUUGCUUUGGCGGGCCGCCUCGUGCCAGCGGCUUCGGCUGUUGAGUGCCCGCCAGAGGACCCCAACUCUUGUUUUUAGUGAUGUCUGAGUACUAUAUAAUAGUUAAAACUUUCAACAACGGAUCUCUUGGUUCUGGCAUCGAUGAAGAACGCAGCGAAAUGCGAUAAGUAAUGUGAAUUGCAGAAUUCAGUGAAUCAUCGAAUCUUUGAACGCACAUUGCGCCCUCUGGUAUUCCGGGGGGCAUGCCUGUUCGAGCGUCAUUAUAACCACUCAAGCUCUCGCUUGGUAUUGGGGUUCGCGGUUUCGCGGCCCCUAAAAUCAGUGGCGGUGCCUGUCGGCUCUACGCGUAGUAAUACUCCUCGCGAUUGAGUCCGGUAGGUCUACUUGCCAGCAACCCCUAAUUUUUUUAAGGUUGACCUCGGAUCAGGUAGGGAUACCCGCUGAACUUAAGCAUAUCAAUAAGGCGGA
rnacentral:rRNA from 1 species